GAUUACACGGCGAUGCGAUUUCGGUCAAAUCAAGUGCAAUCUUAGUGGCGGACGGGUGAGUAACGCGUGGGUAACCUGCCUUGCACUGGGGGAUAACACUUAGAAAUAGGUGCUAAUACCGCAUAAGCGCACGGUCCUGCAUGGGACAGUGUGAAAAACUCCGGUGGUGCAAGAUGGACCCGCGUCUGAUUAGCUGGUUGGCGGGGUAAAGGCCCACCAAGGCGACGAUCAGUAGCCGGCCUGAGAGGGUGGACGGCCACAUUGGGACUGAGACACGGCCCAAACUCCUACGGGAGGCAGCAGUGGGGGAUAUUGGACAAUGGGGGGAACCCUGAUCCAGCGACGCCGCGUGAGUGAAGAAGUAUUUCGGUAUGUAAAGCUCUGUCAGCAGGGAAGAAAGCAAUGACGGUACCUGACCAAGAAGCCCCCGCUAACUACGUGCCAGCAGCCGCGGUAAUACGUAGGGGGCAAGCGUUAUCCGGAAUUACUGGGUGUAAAGGGAGCGUAGACGGCUGUGCAAGUCUGGAGUGAAAGGCGGGGGCCCAACCCCCGGACUGCUCUGGAAACUGUAUGGCUGGAGUGCAGGAGAGGUAAGCGGAAUUCCUAGUGUAGCGGUGAAAUGCGUAGAUAUUAGGAGGAACACCAGUGGCGAAGGCGGCUUACUGGACUGUAACUGACGUUGAGGCUCGAAAGCGUGGGGAGCAAACAGGAUUAGAUACCCUGGUAGUCCACGCCG
rnacentral:rRNA from 1 species